AAGCUCAUCAUCAUUUUUCAGAGAAGAUCAAAACCCUUUCAGAGAAUCCUUUCAGAGAAGAAAUUUUUACCCAAACCUCCAAAGCACGAAGAAAACCCUCACCAUCGCAAAGAUCGAAACCCGCUGUCUCACUAUCGUCGCAUCCCAGCCCACUCACCAGUCACCGCCACACACGACUCACCACUCACCACUCACCACUGACCGUCGCUCCUCUUCGCCUUCCUGCUCUGAUCGUCGCUGUGCCGCCCAUACCAUCUUCGAUCGCUGCACUUCUCGUCGUCCUCUCUGUGCUCACGGCGUCGAUUAGCUAUUUUUCAUCCAAGCUAUAAACAAAACUCAAUAAAUUAUAGUGUUGGUGUGGUGAGAUCACACACAGAAAUUGGUACUAGCUGCACGGUCACCCGUUUUCAAAGCCCAAAUUUGUGGUCCUGUGAAAGAUCAGAAUACUGAUUGUAUAAACACUGGCUACAACUUUAGCACUAGCAGAGCAGCAUCAUUGUUUUCAGCUGAAAGCAUUCUAUCUCAAGUUUAUUGCAACCUCCGAAAACCUCAGAGUGUCUGACUCUGGUCAUGCAGGAUUUCUAAGGCUAUAAUGAAUGAGUAUUUAGAGAAGAUUGAUGCCAUUGCAUCCAAACUACUUAACUUUGAAGUGUGUAUUUCUAAUCUCUUAUUUUUACUUCAAGGAGAUAAUUAGAAUGAAAAAAUCUUGGAUGCUACCUAUAAAGUUACUUUUUUUUGUUCCAACAAAAGAUGGAAAUUCAAACUAUAUGAAGAUGGAAUUUGCGCAUUUGAAUUUUUGAUAAAGAAAGGAUUCUCAUUUUCACUUUGGUUCUAAUUUCUAAAUUUCUGAAAAAUUAACUAUGCUCUAUAAUUACUACCCACUCAGCUAAAUAAACACCAAGAGCUUUUUUGAACAAUGGCAAAAAUAAAAAUAUAUAGUAUGUGAAAAGUGUAUAUAAAAAUUUCAUUGCUUGAAUUUCAUCACUUGGUUGGAAUGAAUCAUAAGGCAGAAAAAUGGGCUCCUUUUGAUUUGUUUACCAUUCUUCUGUAUAUCCUAUUUUAUCUUGCAAAAUACUUUUACUUAAUUCUGAUAAUAAAAUUUAUUGAUUAAAUAUCUAUAUUUUUUAUUUUAAAAAACUCCCUCCUACUGCUCUUCUUCAAGCUGUGUCACCGCCGUCGAAUCUGGUCCAGCCGCCGUCCCCACUCCCACUGCUCCAGCACCGUCGUAGCUUGUCUAUCGUCAGGUUGCUUCGCCUCUAUUCCAUGGCCGUUGCUAUUCCAUUUCUGUCUCCUGUGCCCCAUUGCUCUCUCUCCCUCAUCUCGGUUUGAAUUGACGAAAAGCUUCUUCAAGAAGUGGUUAAUAUGGGAUUUGACAGAAAUUAAUUGGUUGAAUCUUUAUGCAACAGGAUCCAAAAUGAGAUGGGGCUGGUGAUGAUUUGUUUAAAGAGCUAUGGAGGCUGUGUGCAGGGCUAUUAAUGGAUGUUCCUUGUGUUCAAGACAGAGUUUUCUAUUUCCCUCAUGGGUCACAUUGAAUUGUUGCCAGAACCUACAGAACAAGAUUUGAGGCAGAUGAAGAACCAGAAAUCUCCCAAAUACGAUCUUCCGUCGAACAAGAUAUUUAAAGAACAAGAUUUUUUUCUCUUCUAUCAGAAGGUUAAUAAUUUUUAUUAGAAGAUACUUAUGUAGGAUAUAAUAUUUUGGUUUUUUAUAGUUUAUUAGUAAUAAAUUUUAAGUGGUCUAAUGUAUAUUUUGAUGUAGGUAUGUUUAAUUUAGUGUGAGAUGUAUGAAUACUCAUUUAUGAUCAUCCCAAUAUUUUUAGUUCAU